UGGUUCUGGCAUCGAUGAAGAACGCAGCGAAAUGCGAUAAGUAAUGCGAAUUGCAGAAUUCAGUGAGUCAUCGAAUCUUUGAACGCAUAUUGCGCCCUUUGGUAUUCCGAAGGGCAUGCCUGUUCGAGCGUCAUUAUCAACCAUCAAGCCUGGCUUGCCGUUGGACCCUUUUGCUAUUGAAAUAUAUGGCAGGUCCGAAAGAUAAUGACGGCGUCGUGUUUGGCCCUAAAUGCAACGAGCUUUUUAUAGCACGCAUUGAAGUGGUUGACCGACCCAGUCUUUAACCAUCAUUUUUUCUAAGGUUGACCUCGGAUCAGGUAGGAAUACCCGCUGA
rnacentral:misc_RNA from 1 species